AAUCAACGCUGGCGGCGUGCCUCAGACAUGCAAGUCGAACGAUUAAGACUUCCUUCGGGAAGUGUAUAAAGUGGCGCACGGGUGAGUAACACGUAAGUAAUCUACCUUCGAGUGGGGAAUAACAUCGGGAAACCGAUGCUAAUACCGCAUAAUGCAGCGGCAUCGCAAGAUGACAGUUGUUAAAGGAGCAAUUCGCUUGAAGAGGAGCUUGCGGCAGAUUAGCUAGUUGGUAAGGUAAUGGCUUACCAAGGCUACGAUCUGUAUCCGGUCUAAGAGGACGGUCGGACACACUGACACUGAAUAACGGGUCAGACUCCUACGGGAGGCAGCAGUCGGGAAUUUUGGGCAAUGGGCGAAAGCCUGACCCAGCAACGCCGCGUGAGGGAUGAAGUAUUUCGGUAUGUAAACCUCGAAAGAAUGGGAAGAAUAAAUGACGGUACCAUUUAUAAGCUCCGGCUAACUACGAGCCAGCCGCCGCAGUAAUAC
rnacentral:rRNA from 1 species